rnacentral:rRNA from 1 species
GAUGAACGCUGGCGGCGUGCCUAAUACAUGCAAGUCGAGCGAACAGACGAGGAGCUUGCUCCUCUGACGUUAGCGGCGGACGGGUGAGUAACACGUGGAUAACCUACCUAUAAGACUGGGAUAACUUCGGGAAACCGGAGCUAAUACCGGAUAAUAUAUUGAACCGCAUGGUUCAAUAGUGAAAGACGGUUUUGCUGUCACUUAUAGAUGGAUCCGCGCCGCAUUAGCUUGUUGGUAAGGUAACGGCUUACCAAGGCAACGGUGGGUAGCCGACCUGAGAGGGUGACCGGCGACACUGGGACUGAGGGACGGCCCAGACGGGUACGGGCGGCAGAAGUGGGGAAUAUUGCAGAAGGGGCGGAAGCGUGAUGAAGAAACGCCGCGUGCGGGAAAACGGCUUUCGGGGGGUAAACCAAUUUUGAAUGUAACGAAGCGUGAGUGACGGUAACGGGUAAAGAAGCCCCGGCUAACUACGUG